rnacentral:snoRNA from 1 species
AACCCAUGAUGAGGACACCUUCUCAGAAGAUCCUUAAAUCUCUCUCAUGUAUUAUAUAAUGUCUCCAAAUCAAUUUGAGAAAUAAGAAGAUAUGUCAUUCCUCAACUU